rnacentral:tRNA from 1 species
AAAGAAUUAGUUAAUAAUAACAUUAGUAUGUCAUGCUAAAAUUACUAGCAGUCUAGUAUUCUUUA